AAAAUUAUAAUUAAUUAAAUUUUGGUAUUAUAUAUGGUUUAUGAACGUGUUAAGAGAACACUCACCAGUGGACUUAGCUCUAUUUAACCGUUACUCACACUUCGAGCGCUGUCAAAGUAAACUAGUGAAAUUCCAGACAAGUUUACAAAAAGCUGCAACAACAAGAUAAACACGUGACCACAAGAAUUCCACAAUUCCAACAGCGCAAUUAAAACAAGAAAAAAAUUGUAAAAGGUCGACUCAGCGUAAAAAAAA